GAUGAAGAACGCAGCGAAAUGCGAUAAGUAAUGUGAAUUGCAGAAUCCCGUGAACCAUCGAGUCUUUGAACGCAAGUUGCGCCCGAAGCCAUUAGGCCGAGGGCACGCCUGCCUGGGCGUCACACGUCGUUGCCCCCCCAUCUACUCCUUCGGGAUUGCGGGGGGCGGAUGAUGGCCUCCCGUGCGCCUCGUCGCGCGGUUGGCAUAAAUACCAAGUCCUCGGCGACGCACGCCACGACAAUCGGUGGUUGCGAAACCUCGGUUGCCCGUCGUGUGCGGUCGUCGCGCAUCGAGGGCUCGAAAAAAUUGCCGGGCUCCGGCUCGGCUUUCAACGCGACCCCAGGUCAGGCGGGGUUACCCGCUGAAUUUAAGCAUAUCAAUAAGCGGAGGA
rnacentral:misc_RNA from 1 species